rnacentral:rRNA from 1 species
AGAGUUUGAUCAUGGCUCAGAUUGAACGCUGGCGGCAGGCCUAACACAUGCAAGUCGAACGGUAACAGGAAGAAGCUUGCUUCUUUGCUGACGAGUGGCGGACGGGUGAGUAAUGUCUGGGAAACUGCCUGAUGGAGGGGGAUAACUACUGGAAACGGUAGCUAAUACCGCAUAACGUCGCAAGACCAAAGAGGGGGACCUUCGGGCCUCUUGCCAUCGGAUGUGCCCAGAUGGGAUUAGCUAGUAGGUGGGGUAACGGCUCACCUAGGCGACGAUCCCUAGCUGGUCUGAGAGGAUGACCAGCCACACUGGAACUGAGACACGGUCCAGACUCCUACGGGAGGCAGCAGUGGGGAAUAUUGCACAAUGGGCGCAAGCCUGAUGCAGCCAUGCCGCGUGUAUGAAGAAGGCCUUCGGGUUGUAGAGUACUUUCAGCGGGGAGGAAGGGAGUAAAGUUAAUACCUUUGCUCAUUGACGUUACCCGCAGAAGAAGCACCGGCUAACUCCGUGCCAGCAGCCGCGGUAAUACGGAGGUGCAAGCGUUAAUCGGAAUUACUGGGCGUAAAGCGCACGCAGGCGGUUUGUUAAGUCAGAUGUGAAAUCCCCGGGCUCAACCUGGGAACUGCAUCUGAUACUGGCAAGCUUGAGUCUCGUAGAGGGGGGUAGAAUUCCAGGUGUAGCGGUGAAAUGCGUAGAGAUCUGGAGGAAUACCGGUGGCGAAGGCGGCCCCCUGGACGAAGACUGACGCUCAGGUGCGAAAGCGUGGGGAGCAAACAGGAUUAGAUACCCUGGUAGUCCACGCCGUAAACGAUGUCGACUUGGAGGUUGUGCCCUUGAGGCGUGGCUUCCGGAGCUAACGCGUUAAGUCGACCGCCUGGGGAGUACGGCCGCAAGGUUAAAACUCAAAUGAAUUGACGGGGGCCCGCACAAGCGGUGGAGCAUGUGGUUUAAUUCGAUGCAACGCGAAGAACCUUACCUGGUCUUGACAUCCACGGAAGUUUUCAGAGAUGAGAAUGUGCCUUCGGGAACCGUGAGACAGGUGCUGCAUGGCUGUCGUCAGCUCGUGUUGUGAAAUGUUGGGUUAAGUCCCGCAACGAGCGCAACCCUUAUCCUUUGUUGCCAGCGGUCCGGCCGGGAACUCAAAGGAGACUGCCAGUGAUAAACUGGAGGAAGGUGGGGAUGACGUCAAGUCAUCAUGGCCCUUACGACCAGGGCUACACACGUGCUACAAUGGCGCAUACAAAGAGAAGCGACCUCGCGAGAGCAAGCGGACCUCAUAAAGUGCGUCGUAGUCCGGAUUGGAGUCUGCAACUCGACUCCAUGAAGUCGGAAUCGCUAGUAAUCGUGGAUCAGAAUGCCACGGUGAAUACGUUCCCGGGCCUUGUACACACCGCCCGUCACACCAUGGGAGUGGGUUGCAAAAGAAGUAGGUAGCUUAACCUUCGGGAGGGCGCUUACCACUUUGUGAUUCAUGACUGGGGUGAAGUCGUAACAAGGUAACCGUAGGGGAACCUGCGGUUG